GACGAACGCUGGCGGCGUGGAUUAGGCAUGCAAGUCGAACGGUAUCAUCCUUUCGGGGGUGAGAGAGUGGCGAACUGGUGAGUAACACGUAGGUUAUCUACCCUCAAGACGGGGACAACCCAGGGAAACUUGGGCUAAUACCGGAUGUGAGCAACUUUUAGUUGUUUGAAAGGUGGCGUAAGCUGUCGCUUGGGGAUGAGCCUGCGUCCUAUUAGUUAGUUGGUGAGGUAACGGCUCACCUAGGCAAUGAUAGGUAGGCGGCCUUAACGGGUGGUCGCCCACACUGGGAUUGAGAUACGGCCCAGACUCCUACGGGAGGCAGCAGUCGAGAAUAGUCUACAAUGGUCGGAAGACUGAUAGUGCGACGCCGCGUGAACGAUGAAUCCCUUCGGGGUGUAAAGUUCUUUUAUAUGUGAGCAGUGCUUCUUAUAUUAACAGUAUGGGGAGAGAGAUAUUAGCAUAUGAAUAAGCAACGGCUAGCUCCGUGCCAGCAGCCGCGGUAAAA
rnacentral:rRNA from 1 species